rnacentral:rRNA from 1 species
UACGGAGGGGACUAGCGUUGUUCGGAAUUACUGGGCGUAAAGCGCACGUAGGCGGAUUUGUAAGUCAGGGGUGAAAUCCCGGGGCUCAACCUCGGAACUGCCUUUGAUACUGCAAAUCUCGAGUCCGGAAGAGGUGAGUGGAAUUCCUAGUGUAGAGGUGAAAUGUGUAGAGAUCGGGAGGAACACCGGUGGCGAAGGCGGGUCUCUGGGCAAUUCCUGACGCUGAGGCGCGAAAGCGUGGGGAGCAAACGGG